rnacentral:rRNA from 1 species
AGAGUUUGAUCCUGGCUCAGAAUCAACGCUGGCGGCGUGCCUCAGACAUGCAAGUCGAACGCGAAAGUUUCCUUCGGGAAACAAGUAGAGUGGCGCACGGGUGAGUAACACGUAGGUAAUCUACCUUCGGAUGGGGAAUAACAAUCGGAAACGGUUGCUAAUACCGCAUAAUGCAGCGGCACCUAAUGGUGACAGUUGUUAAAGCGGGGGAUCGCAAGACCCCGCGUCUGAAGAGGAGCCUGCGGCGGAUUAGCUUGUUGGUAAGGUAACGGCUUACCAAGGCGACGAUCCGUAGCCGGCCUGAGAGGGCGGUCGGCCACACUGACACUGACAUACGGGUCAGACUCCUACGGGAGGCAGCAGUCGGGAAUUUUGGGCAAUGGGCGAAAGCCUGACCCAGCAACGCCGCGUGAAGGAUGAAAUCCCUCGGGAUGUAAACUUCGCAAGAACGGGAAGAAUAAGUAGGGGACAAUACCCCCUAUGAUGACGGUACCGUUUGUAAGCUCCGGCUAACUCCGUGCCAGCAGCCGCGGUAAUACGGGGGGAGCAAGCGUUGUUCGGAUUUACUGGGCGUAAAGGGCGCGUAGGCGGCCAGCACAAGUCAGUUGUGAAAUCUCCGGGCUUAACUCGGAAAGGUCAACUGAUACUGUGCGGCUAGAGUGCGGAAGGGGCAACUGGAAUUCUUGGUGUAGCGGUGAAAUGCGUAGAUAUCAAGAGGAACACCUGCGGCGAAGGCGGGUUGCUGGGCCGACACUGACGCUGAGGCGCGAAAGCCAGGGGAGCGAACGGGAUUAGAUACCCCGGUAGUCC